rnacentral:piRNA from 1 species
UAUACAGCAGGAGCCGAUUUGGCAGAGAGAC